UUUUUUUUUUUUUUUUCUUUUUUUGAGACGGAGUCUAUCUCUGUCACCCAGGCUGCAGUGCAAUGCAGUGGCCUGAUCUUAGCUCAAUGUAACCUCCUGGGUUCACACAAUUCUCCUGCCUCAGCCUCCCAAGUACCUGAGAUUACAGGCAUGCUACCGUAUCCAGCUAUUUUUUUUUUCAUAUUUUUACUAGAGACGGGGUUUCACCAUGUUGGCCAGGCUGUUCUCAAACUCCUGGCCUCAAGUAAUCCACCCACCUCUGCCUCUCAAUGUGCUGGGAUUAUAGGCAUGAGUCACCAUGCCUGGCCAGCACUAGCUACUUUCAUUUAUACCUGCUGGCUCCAUUCAGCCUUCCCAUUACCUCCACUUAUAGGUGAGGAAAUUAAGUCUAAAAGAGGUUAUGAGUCUCACUAAAAAUCAGUGAACUAGUAAGUGGUAGAGAAAAUAAUUUGAACUUAACUCAUCAGAAGAGCUUUCAGAGUCAAAGAAUUAAAUAGCAGUGAUAGCCAUAUUUACAGCAAUCUAUUUUGGAUCCUGCAACAAUAAAAAGAAAAGUUUCAGGAUUGACUUUAGUCUUAUCAUUGAUGCUAAACUCGAUGAUGGUGCUGGGUUUGGCAUAGGUCAAGAUGUUGAGAGAUUGGCAGAACUCAGGUCAAGAGAGUAUCUAGAGCAAGGUGGCUGAAGGGAAUGAAGAGAAACGGGAUCUGCUGAGUGAUGAAUGGAGUCAACGUGCUGCAGAGAGCAAAGCAGGAUCAAAAGGACAAUGUGAGUUACCGAGAGGACAGUGAUUGAAAUAGGAGAAAACAAAUAGUGGAGAUGCGUGGACAGGAAAAGAAUUGAUGGAAGAUUGAGCUUAGAUAGAGCAGAGAUGGAGCAGAAGAUGGCACUCUCUUUUCCACAAUUAGAGUUUAUUUAUGUUCUAGAGAUCAUCUGGAGGCUUAAGAAGAAAGACUGUUAAAAAACAUUACUUGAAUCAUGGGAAGCUGAGAAAGGAGGAUGGAAGGAAAGAAAGAAGGAAAGGAAAGGAAGAAGGGAAGGAAGAAUUGACAGACAGAGGGGGCGGGGAGGUUUUUGUUUUAAAAUUUAAAUUAUAUUCUCUGUGAAAGUGCAGCUAGUGUGAAAACAGUGCCUGUCUCAGUAAAAAUUCAAUAAAUAUGUGAUGGUUCAUUGGCAAAAUACUUAUUUUGCAUCUCUACCCUAUGUAGGUUACUGUACUAGCUGGUGUGCACACUGCGGUAAGCAAGACACAGUUGGUCUUUGAUAUUUGGGAGUUCCCAAUCUAGUAAGGAACAUACGCAUCAAGAAAAUGCUCUAAUAAAUGGACAAUUAUUAAAAUAUGGAAUGAGUGCAAUUAAAAUGGCUAUAAGGAAAUAUGAAAGGAUGUAACAGAGAGUACAGCAAGAGGCUAACUUAGCCUGGGUGGGUGGUUAUGUUAGGGAAAGUGUUUUGAUUAGCAAAACUUAGAGACUAGUAAAAGAUAGCUAGUGAAGACUGAGGAAAGUCUCUCCAGGCAGAAGAAAGAGUCCAUUUGAAGAUGCUGGGGCAACAAGAGCUUGAAGUAUUUCAGGAAGAG
ensembl:lncRNA